UUGUAGCUUUUGCAUCUAAAAUAGUUGUCUCAUAGUAUGGAAAACCACUGAUAACAUAUUCAUUUGCCGAUCUUAAACUAAGUUGGAGAAAAUCAUUUUGGGAAAUUGAAGACAAGGAAGUAAAGCAGAAUUCUUGAACAAGUUGAGAAGUACUCCAAUUCUGUUCUGACCAACCAAGUGAAUGAAGAACGGGAAAGUCAAAAUAGAGCUACCACCAAGAAGGCUAUCGGUCUCAUAGAGUGGAUGAGUAAAUCAAAGUGGGCAUUAUGUACACUCUCACGUAUGUUUCUAACCUGUUAAAUAUUUAGUUAGGACAGGUGAUCUUGACUGCUCCCACAAUUGAGUUUCAUUCUCUCUCCCCCCCCCCCCCCCCCCCCCCCCGCGGGCGGGGGGAGAUUUUUCUCUAUUCUUUAUUUAUUUAUUCAUUCUUUAUUCAUUAUUUCCCUUCUUUCUUUUUCUCUCCGAAAAUAGAAGAUAGGUUGGGAUGGCAUUGGGUUUACCCCUCAGAA